GAUGAACGCUGGCGGCGUGCCUAAUACAUGCAAGUCGAGCGAACGGACGAGAAGCUUGCUUCUCUGAUGUUAGCGGCGGACGGGUGAGUAACACGUGGAUAACCUACCUAUAAGGCUGGGAUAACUUCGGGAAACCGGAGCUAAUACCGGAUAAUAUUUUGAACCGCAUGGUUCAAAAGUGAAAGACGGUCUUGCUGUCACUUAUAGAUGGAUCCGCGCUGCAUUAGCUAGUUGGUAAGGUAACGGCUUACCAAGGCAACGAUGCAUAGCCGACCUGAGAGGGUGAUCGGCCACACUGGAACUGAGACACGGUCCAGACUCCUACGGGAGGCAGCAGUAGGGAAUCUUCCGCAAUGGGCGAAAGCCUGACGGAGCAACGCCGCGUGAGUGAUGAAGGUCUUCGGAUCGUAAAACUCUGUUAUUAGGGAAGAACAUGUGUGUAAGUAACUGUGCACAUCUUGACGGUACCUAAUCAGAAAGCCACGGCUAACUACGUG
rnacentral:rRNA from 1 species